CAUCCCAGAUUGACAUCUAGCAAUGUAUUAGGACAAUACAUGUGACGAAAAAUGUCACGUGGUAUGACAAAAUCAAACUCGUCCGCUUACCGUAAAACUAUAAUCACUUCGUCAAUAUGAUCCAAUCAAUUACGAGAUAUGUAAGUGUGCCAAUCUUGAUUAUCGAUCAUAUCACUCCACUAUUAAGUCAAUAUAUUUCGAAAACUCAUUUUCGACUUAUGAGUACACAUUGACCAAGGAUUUCGUUAUCGACUUAACUGAAUGAAAUGCAAAUCAUAAUCUCUUACUAUCUAAGAGUGAUGAAUCCUCUAUUGGUCAUUCACAACUUUCAUACAAUUCUUGAGAUACCCGAACGAUACCGUAUUAGCGGCCCUUGGUAGAGCGACAUCCAACACCGUCAAAGUAUGAUUGUCCUCAUAUAAGGUAUUAUGACGACCUCAAGUUAAAGGACCAAUCCCACUAUCCAACAUUAGAGAUUAAUCACUAAUAUUUAGAUAGUCGUCCAUGUGCAAUCUCUAGGUGGGUCUCCAAUGUUUUGUUCUAUAACAAAACAUCCACAUAUUUAUUCAAGUGUGUCAUCACACUUUAACUUGUGAGAUGAGUUACUUACUUCACAAGUAAGAAAUAUCACAUGUAAUGGUCUAUCCGUAAUAAUAAUAUCUAUAUCUCAUUAUUACUAACUACCACAGACGAUUUAAGAUUCAAUCAUAUGUAAUUUGUAUCUCACAAUUACAACUCCUUGUGAUUAACAAAUUAUCAAAAUUUGAAUCUACGGAGUCUAUUGUUUAAUUUAAUUGAAUAUUAAUUAAAUAAUAGAUCUACCAUAAAAUCGCAUUAAUUAUAUAUUAAAAGUAUUUAUAUCCAAAGUUGAUUGACCUUGAGCAUAACACUUGCACAUCCUACAAUUCAUAAAUUCAUUAGGUGGUAUACUGGUUUUAUGAAAUUUGUAUAUAUCUCGUCCCAUUCAGGUUCAAUUAAGUAGGCCUAAAAGCCCUUAUCUGACUUGAACCAAUUCAAUC
rnacentral:lncRNA from 1 species